rnacentral:rRNA from 1 species
CGCGUAGGCGGCUCUUCAAGUCAAAGGUGAAAUCCCUCGGCUCAACCGGGGAACUGCCUUUGAUACUGUCGAGCUUGAGUCCCGGAGAGGAUAGCGGAAUUCCGAGUGUAGCGGUGAAAUGCGUAGAUACUCGGAGGAACACCCGUGGCGAAGGCGGCUACCUGGACGGGUACUGACGCUGAGGCGCGAAAGCUAGGGGAGCAAACA